UUUGAAUGUUUUUGGUUUCUUUUUUUUAAUAAAAAGAAUUAAAAGGGAAUUUGGUUAAAUACCAAAGCUGUUCCCGCAACUGUAAGCUAAGUCUAUUAUUUUAGAUAUUUCACAAUCCUCUUAAACCACUGUCAAUAAAUGAUGGGAAGGUCAUGUGGAAAUGUAAGCCAGGAGACCUGCCAUUAACUUU
rnacentral:ncRNA from 1 species